AUGCAGUCGAGCGGAUCAAUGGGAGCUUGCUCCCGGCGAUCAGCGGCGGACGGGUGAGUAACACGUGGGCAACCUGCCCUGCAGAUGGGGAUAACUCCGGGAAACCGGGGCUAAUACCGAAUAAUCAGUUCCUCCGCAUGGAGGAACUCUGAAAGGCGGCUUCGGCUGCCACUGCAGGAUGGGCCCGCGGCGCAUUAGCUAGUUGGUGGGGUAAUGGCCUACCAAGGCAACGAUGCGUAGCCGACCUGAGAGGGUGAUCGGCCACACUGGGACUGAGACACGGCCCAGACUCCUACGGGAGGCAGCAGUAGGGAAUCUUCCACAAUGGACGAAAGUCUGAUGGAGCAAUGCCGCGUGAGUGAAGAAGGUUUUCGGAUCGUAAAGCUCUGUUGCGAGGGAAGAACACGUACGGGAGUAACUGUCCGUACCUUGACGGUACCUCGUCAGAAAGCCACGGCUAACUACGUGCCAGCAGCCGCGGUAAUACGUAGGUGGCAAGCGUUGUCCGGAAUUAUUGGGCGUAAAGCGCGCGCAGGCGGUCCUUUAAGUCUGAUGUGA
rnacentral:rRNA from 1 species